rnacentral:rRNA from 1 species
CCUACGGGCGGCAGCAGUGGGGAAUAUUGCGCAAUGGGCGAGAGCCUGACGCAGCGACGCCGCGUGAGGGAUGAAGGUCUUCGGAUCGGAAACCUCUGUCAGCAGGGAAGUACGGUCACUGUGCUAAUCAGCAGUGAAUUGACGGUACCUACAAGGAAAGCACCGGCUAACUCCGUGCCAGCAGCCGCGGUAAUACGGAGGAUGCGAGCGUUAAUCGGUAUUAUUGGGCGUAAGGCGCUCGUAGGCGGUAUGUCAAGUCAAGGGUGAAAUCCCCGCGCUCAACGUGGGAAGUGCCUUUGAAACUGGCAAACUGGAGUGUGUGAGAGGAUAGUGGAAUUCCAGGUGUAGGAGUGAAAUCCGUAGAUAUCUGGAGGAACAUCAGUGGCGAAGGCGACUAUCUGGCACAUAACUGACGCUGAGGAGCGAAAGCGUGGGUAGCAAACAGGAGUAGAUACCCGAGUAGUC